UACGUAGGGUGCGAGCGUUAAUCGGAAUUACUGGGCGUAAAGCGUGCGCAGGCGGUUCGUUAAGUCAGACGUGAAAUCCCUCGGCUUAACCGGGGAACUGCGUCUGAUACUGGAUGGCUUGAGUUCGGGAGAGGGAUGCGGAAUUCCAGGUGUAGCGGUGAAAUGCGUAGAUAUCUGGAGGAACACCGGUGGCGAAGGCGGCAUCCUGGACCGACACUGACGCUGAGGAGCGAAAGCCAGGGGAGCAAACAGG
rnacentral:rRNA from 1 species